UACGUAGGGGGCAAGCGUUGUCCGGAUUUAUUGGGCGUAAAGAGCGUGUAGGCGGCUAGGUAGGUCCGUUGUGAAAUCGCCCGGCUCAACUGGGCGGGGUCGGCGGAUACGGCCGAGCUGGAGCAAGCUAGGGGGUAAUGGAAUUCCCGGUGUAGUGGUGGAAUGCGUAGAUAUCGGGAGGAACACCAGUGGCGAAGGCGGUUACCUGGAGCUUUGCUGACGCUGAUGCGCGAAAGCGUGGGGAGCGAUCCGG
rnacentral:rRNA from 1 species